UCCUUUCUUGNUCCCGAGCUGCNAACGGGUGAGUAACACGUGGGUAAUCUGCCCUGCACUUCGGGAUAAGCCUGGGAAACUGGGUCUAAUACCGCAUAUGACCAAGGCUGCAUGGCNNNGGUGGAAAGUGACUGGUGCAGGAUGGGCAGCGGCCUAUCAGCUNGUUGGUGGGGUAAUGGCCUACCAAGGCGACGACGGGUAGCCGACCUGAGAGGGUGACCGGCCACACUGGGACUGAGACACGGCCCAGACUCNUACGGGAGGCAGCAGUGGGGAAUAUUGCACAAUGGGCGAAAGCCUGAUGCAGCGACGCCGCGUGAGGGAUGAAGGCNUUCGGGUUGUAAACCUCUUUCAGCAGGGACGAAGCGAAAGUGACGGUACCUGCAGAAGAAGCACCGGCUAACUACGUGCCAGCAGCCGCGGUAAUACGUAGGGUGCAAGCGUUGUCCGGAAUUACUGGGCGUAAAGAGUUCGUAGGCGGUUNGUCACGUCGUCUGUGAAA
rnacentral:rRNA from 1 species